UGGUUCCAGCAUCGAUGAAGAACGCAGCGAAAUGCGAUAAGUAAUGUGAAUUGCAGAAUUCAGUGAAUCAUCGAAUCUUUGAACGCACAUUGCGCUCCCUGGUAUUCCGGGGAGCAUGCCUGUUCGAGCGUCAUUGCACCCCUCACGCCUGGCGUGGUGUUGGACUCGCCGCGACGGCCGGUCUCGAAAGCAGUGGCGGCUCUGUAGGAUCCCUAAGCGCAGUACUUCACGUCGCUUGUGGCCUCCUGCAGCGCCUGCCAGCAACCCCCACCACACAUGGUUGACCUCGGAUCAGGUAGGGAUACCCACUGA
rnacentral:misc_RNA from 1 species